GGACUACUGGGGUAUCUAAUCCUGUUUGCUCCCCACGCUUUCGCGCCUGAGCGUCAGUACCGAGCCAGAUGGCCGCCUUCGCCACCGGUGUUCUUCCUAAUAUCUACGAAUUUCACCUCUACACUAGGAAUUCCGCCAUCCUCUCUCGGACUCAAGCGAUCCCGUUUCAAAGGCAAUUCCGAAGUUGAGCCUCGGGAUUUCACCUCUGACAAAGAUCACCGCCUACGCGCGCUUUACGCCCAGUAAUUCCGAACAACGCUAGCCCCCUUCGUAUUACCGCGGCUGCUGGCAC
rnacentral:rRNA from 1 species